GAACGCUAGCGACAGGCUAACACAUGCAAGUCGAGGGGCAGCACGGGAGUAGCAAUACAACUGGUGGCGACCGGCGCACGGGUGAGUAACGCGUAUGCAACCUACCUAUCAGAGGGGAAUAACCCGGCGAAAGUCGGACUAAUACCGCAUAAAACAGGGGCACCGCAUGGUGAUAUUUGUUAAAGAGAUUCGCUGAUAGAUGGGCAUGCGUUCCAUUAGGUAGUUGGUGAGGUAACGGCUCACCAAGCCGACGAUGGAUAGGGGAACUGAGAGGUUGGUCCCCCACACUGGUACUGAGACACGGACCAGACUCCUACGGGAGGCAGCAGUGAGGAAUAUUGGUCAAUGGGCGGGAGCCUGAACCAGCCAAGUCGCGUGAAGGAAGAAGGAUCUAUGGUUCGUAAACUUCUUUUGCAGGGGAAUAAAGUGCAGGACGUGUCCUGUUUUGUAUGUACCCUGAGAAUAAGGAUCGGCUAACUCCGUGCCAGCCGCAGC
rnacentral:rRNA from 1 species